rnacentral:rRNA from 1 species
CAACCUGCCCAUCACUUGGGGAUAACCUUGCGAAAGUAAGACUAAUACCCAAUGAUAUCUCUAGAAGACAUCUGAAAGAGAUUAAAGAUUUAUCGGUGAUGGAUGGGGAUGCGUCUGAUUAGCUUGUUGGCGGGGUAACGGCCCACCAAGGCGACGAUCAGUAGGGGUUCUGAGAGGAAGGUCCCCCACAUUGGAACUGAGACACGGUCCAAACUCCUACGGGAGGCAGCAGUGAGGAAUAUUGGUCAAUGGGCGAGAGCCUGAACCAGCCAAGUAGCGUGCAGGAUGACGGCCCUAUGGGUUGUAAACUGCUUUUAUAAGGGAAUAAAGUGAGUCUCGUGAGAUUUUUUGCAUGUACCUUAUGAAUAAGGACCGGCUAAUUCCGUGCCAGCAGCCGCGGUAAUACGGAAGGUCCGGGCGUUAUCCGGAUUUAUUGGGUUUAAAGGGAGCGUAGGCCGGAGAUUAAGCGUGUUGUGAAAUGUAGACGCUCAACGUCUGCACUGCAGCGCGAACUGGUUUCCUUGAGUACGCACAAAGUGGGCGGAAUUCGUGGUGUAGCGGUGAAAUGCUUAGAUAUCACGAAGAACUCCGAUUG